rnacentral:lncRNA from 1 species
CGCUUCCCGGCCACCAUUUUGUUUCAGGAUGGCCAAAAGCACCACGCACCUUGAACCUGAGCUCUUGUGCAACGCCCAGCCCAGAGCUAAAGCAAGGCGCUCCGGGUGCAGCUGUCUCCCUCUCCCGUGAGCCCUUUGCAGGCACCAGCAUGCACAGAGGCCAGCUCUCCAGGACGCCAGGUCCUCUCUGGUUUGCUCCCUUCCCGCUGCGGGCAGGACUUCUAGCGCCCCCCUCGAGGUCAGGGCUGGAAUCCAGGGCCAGUGGGUAGAAAUUUGGAGCCGCCUCCCAGACCCAGGGCGAAAUCAUCACCUCUGAAAAACAGGCGAGCUGCAGAACCUAAGCCACCCCAGCCUGGGGAAGGCAACAUGGGCCCCACCCUGGAAAACCACAGAAGUCCCGACCGCCUCUGCUUUCACUGCUCAGACCUGUGGGAAACUUCCUCGCUUGAGCGGCUUCUUGACGGUUACUGCUCCAGUUCUGCUGAGUCAGAAGCAUCUCCCAGCUGCUCACCGGAAACACAGCUGUUAGGCGAAAAUAACCACAGAGCCGAGCAUUGUGCACCUUCCAGAAAAGAGGGCAGAAAACCUCAAAACAAAAGAGAAAAACACAAAACAAUAGAAGAGGCGCUGUUAGAAACCCAGAAGGCGGCUUGCUCCCUUCGCCAAGCCCUGGCUCCCUCCUUGUCAUCCACAGCUUGGAGAUGGAGCAAAUCUGGCAGCUUUUCCACUGUAGCGGAACUGGCACUCCCCACCCCUCAACCCCAAUAAACCGUUAUGACCGUGUC